CCCAAGAGACUGGGAUAACACCUGGAAACAGAUGCUAACACCGGAUAACAACACUAGACGCAUGUCUAGAGUUUGAAAGAUGGUUCUGCUAUCACUCUUGGAUGGACCUGCGGUGCAUUAGCUAGUUGGUAAGGUAACGGCUUACCAAGGCAAUGAUGCAUAGCCGAGUUGAGAGACUGAUCGGCCACAUUGGGACUGAGACACGGCCCAAACUCCUACGGGAGGCAGCAGUAGGGAAUCUUCCACAAUGGACGAAAGUCUGAUGGAGCAACGCCGCGUGAGUGAAGAAGGGUUUCGGCUCGUAAAGCUCUGUUGGUAGUGAAGAAAGAUAGAGGUAGUAACUGGCCUUUAUUUGACGGUAAUUACUUAGAAAGUCACGGCUAACUACGUGCCAGCAGCCGCGGUAAUACGUAGGUGGCAAGCGUUGUCCGGAUUUAUUGGGCGUAAAGCGAGUGCAGGCGGUUCAAUAAGUCUGAUGUGAAAGCCUUCGGCUCAACCGGAGAAUUGCAUCAGAAACUGUUGAACUUUGAGUGCAGAAGAGGAGAGUGGAACUCCAUGUGUAGCGGUGGAAUGCGUAGAUAUAUGGAAGAACACCAUUGGCGAAGGCGGCUCUCUGGUCUGCAACUGACGCUG
rnacentral:rRNA from 1 species